rnacentral:rRNA from 1 species
GAUGAACGCUGGCGGCGUGCCUAAUACAUGCAAGUCGAGCGAACAGGUAAGGAGCUUGCUCCUUUGACGUUAGCGGCGGACGGGUGAGUAACACGUGGGUAACCUACCUAUAAGACUGGAAUAACUCCGGGAAACCGGGGCUAAUGCCGGAUAACAUGUUGAACCGCAUGGUUCUACAGUGAAAGGCGGCUUUGCUGUCACUUAUAGAUGGACCCGCGCCGUAUUAGCUAGUUGGUGAGGUAACGGCCCACCAAGGCAACGAUACGUAGCCGACCUGAGAGGGUGAUCGGCCACACUGGAACUGAGACACGGUCCAGACUCCUACGGGAGGCAGCAGUAGGGAAUCUUCCGCAAUGGGCGAAAGCCUGACGGAGCAACGCCGCGUGAGUGAUGAAGGUCUUCGGAUCGUAAAACUCUGUUAUUAGGGAAGAACAAAUGCGUAAGUAACUGUGCGCGUCUUGACGGUACCUAAUCAGAAAGCCACGGCUAACUACGUG